UCUUUGAGAUAGCCGAGGUGCUUGCCACCUAGUGAAUAAUUUUUAGUCACACAUGUUCAGGCGGGGAGCACCACCAGUUAAGCCAAAAAGCAAUGCUACUGGUACGUUGAUCCUCCUUGGCUCGAGUUGUCCGCUCGAGUAAGCCAGUCUAGAUACCUCAUCCAUCAGGAUUUAAACCUAGAUGAACAAACCUCAUGUUGUAUAUCCCUAGUAGGUUCGUUUUAUUCGCAUCAUAAGCAUUUGACUUAGCGAAACUCGGCACAAGAGUCGGGUCCGUAUAAGACAUGUAUCCUCUUUGAGACCAUCAUGACCACUUAUGUGCUACUUGCUACAUUAUUUGGAAGGCUUGCUUACAUUAUUGACCGGCUUUAGAAAAUUAGUUGAGCGAAGAAAAAAAAACCGUUCCCCCGUUUUUGGUACAAAUAAUCCGUUUUUCCAUGUCUUUCACCGAACAAGAACUACAAGCGACAUGAUUCCCCUAUAAUCUGGGAUAUGUAGGUUGUCCAAAAUCAAGACUCAGUUGCACUCUUUUCACUUUUAUUUCUUCCCUUUUAAAUAAUGAUAUAGUAAAAAAUUAGUCACAUAACUCACCUUUUUUUUGUCUUAAAACUCUUCAUAUUUCCAAACAAAUAGGGCAUGCUUUGACCAUGUUUCAAUUUUCAUAUUUUUUUAGUAUAAAUAUUUUAAAGUUUAAUUUAUAUAUUUUAGUCUUUAUUUCACCUUUGUAGAUUUUAUUUAAGAAAAUUAAAAAUCACAAAAGGAGUUGUUUUUAAGAAGUACAUAUUUAGUUUUUGUUUAUAAAACAAAUCCACAAAAAAAAAUCUUUUAAACUUUGUAGUGUUAAAUUAGAUAUUGGUUUUGUUAUUCUUCAUUAGUGACUUUAUUUAUACGUUCUUGAUUUUAAAAUAUAUAACUAGUAUUUUUUUACUUUAUCCUAUUAAAAGAAAUAAUUGAAGCAAGAGCCAUUAAAAUUUUAUGCGACAAGAUCUUUUCAUAUCUUCUCUUUAACCAACCUCACAUUUUGACUAAAAAGAAGACUAUGCACAAUAAACCUUUUGACUAAAAAAAAAGAGAUAAUGCACGGCACACAUUUUCUUUGGACUCUUGCUCUCCAAUUCAGAUCCCCAUAAAACACUCUAUAAAAAAUGCACAUAAGCCUUCAUUAAAGAGGCGGAGGGGAGAAUAACUUUAAAACCCAGCUUUGUUCCUCCAUGAAACCCAGCGGAAAAAUUCACUAAACCAGUUCUUAAAACCAACAAAACACCAGCUCAUAACUAAGUGACGUUGCACUAUAGUUCCCUCCGUCGAGUUUGCCACCGUCCUUGGAGUCUCGGUCAUGGUUCUGUGAUGAUUCAAUGCUCAUCGGCUCUGUGUUGAAGCUUUUCUUUGUUGCUAUACAGUUUGCCUUGGAGAUAAUUUUAUCACAAGAUCCAGGUGCUCGAGUGGUAGAGUGAGGGUCCUCAUCUGAUCCAGAGGUUGCCGGAGAUUUCAAGAUAGCUGCAUGGCGUCCGUAACCCUGUUUCUCCUUCUUAUCUUGUUCUUUUCCGCAUUUUCUAGACUUAUGUUGUAUCAGACAGCCAGUUAAAUAGUAGAGGCUCUAGACUCGUGACACCAGAUAUUUGGGCUAUGUAGUUCAUGCUUAUUUGACUCCCGCUUAUAUUUUGUUGUUUUUAAACACUUAUUAUGAAAAUUUGGUAUUUAAACCA